rnacentral:lncRNA from 1 species
AAGGGGCGUAUGACAUUUGCGCCGAUUUUUAAAAUUUUCAUUCUUUCAUUUGCGCCGAUUCAUUUUUCAUUUGCGCCGAUUUUAUAUUUGCUCCUAAUUGGAUUUACAGGUAAGUUAAUACUUGUACAUGUACUAUACCGUGCAGGUAUAUUGGUAAAAUCUGUUUAUAAACAAAGGUUUUAGUUAAUUUUGAUUCAUAUUGUUCUGAACUUUGCUGUAAUUGAUGGACAUAUUGCACACUGCAACGAGCCGAGGAGUCAAUUAUUUUAACCAUCGACGGCCAUACACAUAAGUACGUUAAUAGCAAGACAAAGAAAAGAUAGAUUUCGUUAUUGACAAUUACAACAAAUAUAGAAGAGACGAAAUCAAAAGAAAGGAAUAUAUU